AUACGAUGAUGUGGGCAUUUUCGAUGCAGCUCUUUAAACCUUUCCCAAGCAUCAAAUAAUGAUUCCCCUUAACAUUGAUAGAAAUGAUUUAUUUCACCUCUAAUCC